GAUGAACGCUGGCGGCGUGCCUAAUACAUGCAAGUCGAGCGAACGGACGAGAAGCUUGCUUCUCUGAUGUUAGCGGCGGAAGGGUGAGUAACACGUGGAUAACCUACCUAUAAGACUGGGAUAACGUCGGGAAACCGGAGCUAAUACCGGAUAAUAGUUUGAACCGCAUGGUUCAAAAGUGAAAGACGGUCUUGCUGUCACUUAUAGAUGGAUCCGCGCUGCAUUAGCUAGUUGGUAAGGUAACGGCUUACCAAGGCAACGAUGCAUAGCCGACCUGAGAGGUUGAUCGGCCACACUGGAACUGGGCCACGGUCCAGACUCCUACGGGAGGCAGCAGUAGGGAAUCUUCCGCAAUGGGCGAAAGCCUGCCGGAGCAACGCCGCGUGAGUGAUGAAGGUCUUCGGAUCGUAAACCUCUGUUAUUAUGGAAGAUCAUAUGUGUAAGUAACUGUGCACAUCUUGACGGUACCUAAUCAGAAAGCCACGGCUAACUACGUG
rnacentral:rRNA from 1 species